AUGUUUCCCUGUACUAACAAUGCGGCUGAGUACGAAGCUCUCCUCCAUGGUCUUCAUAUGGCUAAGGAGAUGAACCUUAGGCGGAUUAGAUGCCUCGAUGACUCUGACUUGGUUGCGCAGCAAGUUUCUGGAAAGUGGGACUCCAAGGAUCCCCUCAUGGCGGCUUAUUGGCACGCAGUGACUAACAUAGUAGGUCACUUCAAGGGUUAUCAAGUGGAUCACAUUGAUAGGCGGCUCAACGAGGCGGCUGAUGCAUUGUCGCGACUGGGCACUCAACAUAAGUCGGUUCCUCCCAAUGUUUCCUUGAUGUACUCCAUAAUCCUUCUAUCAAGUUGCCUUCCAUGGAAGAUCUGGCUAUGCCUGACCCAGAGGCGCAGUUGGUGGUUGCUCUUCGUGCCACCCCAGACUGGACGGUUCCUUAUCUGGCAUAUGUGA
rnacentral:rRNA from 1 species